rnacentral:rRNA from 1 species
AAUUUUGGACAAUGGGGGCAACCCUGAGCCAGCCAUCUCGCGUGUGCGAUGAAGGCCNNNGGGUUNUCAAGCACUUUUGGCAGNAACNAAACGGCUCUGGCUAAUAUCGGGAGCAACUGACGGUACCUGCAGAAUAAGCACCGGCCAACUUCGUGCCAGCAGCCGCGGUAAUACGUAGGGUGCAAGCGUUAAUCGGAAUUACUUGGCGUAAAGCGUGCGCAGGCGGUUCGGAAAGAAAGAUGUGAAAUCCCAGGGCUUAACCUUGGAACUGCAUUUUUAACUACCGGGCUAGAGUGUGUCAGAGGGAGGUGGAAUUCCGCGUGUAGCAGUGAAAUGCGUAGAUAUGCGGAGGAACACCGAUGGCGAAGGCAGCCUCCUGGGAUAACACUGACGCUCAUGCACGAAAGCGUGGGGAGCAAACAGG